rnacentral:rRNA from 1 species
CAGCAGCCGCGGUAAUACGAAGGGUGCAAGCGUUAAUCGGAAUUACUGGGCGUAAAGCGUGCGUAGGCGGUUUGUUAAGUCUGCUGUGAAAUCCCCGGGCUCAACCUGGGAAUGGCAGUGGAUACUGGCUCGCUAGAGUGUGUCAGAGGAUGGUGGAAUUCCCGGUGUAGCGGUGAAAUGCGUAGAGAUCGGGAGGAACAUCAGUGGCGAAGGCGGCCAUCUGGGACAACACUGACGCUGAGGCACGAAAGCGUGGGGAGCAAACAGGAUUAGAUACCCCGGUAGUCCCUGUCUCUUAUAC